rnacentral:rRNA from 1 species
ACGAACGCUGGCGGUGUGCUUCACACAUGCAAGUCGAACGGGGGUAGCAAUACCCAGUGGCGGACGGGUGAGUAACACGUGGGAAUCUACCAUUAGAUGGGGGAUAGCAGGCCGAAAGGCCUAUUAAUACCGCAUAUGUAGGCGUCUCGACAGAGAUGUUUAUGAAAGGAGUAAUCCGUCUGAUGAUGAGCCCGCGCCCGAUUAGCUAGUUGGUAAGGUAAAAGCUUACCAAGGCGACGAUCGGUAGGUGGUCUGAGAGGAUGAUCACCCACAAUGGGACUGAGACACGGCCCAUACUCCUACGGGAGGCAGCAGUGGGGAAUUUUACGCAAUGGGGGAAACCCUGACGUAGCGACACCGCGUGAGCGAAGAAGCCCUUUGGGGUGUAAAGCUCUGUCAACAGGAACGAAAAAAAUGACGGUACCUGUGGAGGAAGCAUCGGCUAACUUACGUGCCAGCAGCCGCGGUAAGACGUAGGGAUGCAAGCGUUGUUCGGAUUAUUGGGCGUAAAGGCGUCGUAGGCGGUUCUGUUAAGUCUGACCUGUUAAAGCUCCGGGCUCAACUGGGAACUUGCAUGCGAUACUGGCCGUGCUGGAGUGUAGUAGAGGUGCGUGGAAUUCCCGUGUAGCGGUGAAAUGCGUAGAUAUCUGGGGAAGAACACCGGUGGGGCGAAUAGCUGGCGCACUGUACCAACUGACGCUGAGGCACGAAAGCUAGGGGAGCAAACUGGAUUAGAUACCCUGUAGUCCUAGCCCGUAAACGAUGGAUACUUAGGUGUAGUGGGUAUCCGAUCCCAGCUGUGCCGCAGCUAACGCGAUUAAGCUAUUCCCGCCUGGGUAGUACGGUCGCAAGGCUGAAACUCAAAGGAAUUGACGGGGGCCCGCACAAGCGGUGGAACAUGUGGUUCAAUUCGACGCAACGCGAAGAACCUUACCAUGGGCUCGAAGCUCAGUGGAAUCUCGGUGAAACGAGCGAGCUGCUCGCAAGAGAGUCCACAAUGCGGAGGUGGCUGCAUGGCCUGUCGUCAGCUCGUGUCGUGAGAUGUUGGGUUAAGUCCCGCAACGAGCGCAACCCCGUAUCGUUAGUUGCCAUCAGGUCAAGCUGGGCACUCUAGCGAGACCUGCCGGUGAUAAACGGGAGGAAGGUGGGGAUGACGUCAAGUCCUCAUGCCCUUUAUGUCCAGGGCUACACACGUGCUACAAUGGUCGGUACAACCGUGCUGCAAACUCGCGAGGGGAGCUAGCGGAAACAAAGCCGGUCUCAGUUCGGAUUGGAGGCUGCAACUCGACUGCCAGUGAAGUCUGGAAUCGCUAGUAAAUCGCAGAUCAGAACGCGGCGGUGAAUACGUUCCCGGGCCUUGUACACACCGCCCGUCACAUCACGAAAGUGGGUGAUACUAGAAGUCGUUUCGUCAACCCGCAAGGGGGACUGACGCCCAAGGUAUGACUCAUGAUUGGGGUG